GGGUGCUUAGCUCAGUUGGUAGAGCGCUUCCCUUACACGGAAGAUGUCAGCGGUUCGAGCCCGUUAGCACCCACCA
rnacentral:tRNA from 3 species